rnacentral:rRNA from 1 species
AGCGAACGCUGGCGGCAGGCUUAACACAUGCAAGUCGAACGGAUCCUUCGAGAUUAGUGGCGGACGGGUGAGUAACACGUGGGGAGGUGACUUCAUGUACGACCCAACUCUGGGAAACUUAAACUAACACCGUACGGGCCCUUCGGGGGAAGGAUUUAUCGUCUUUAUUGCAGCGCGCGUCAGAUUAGCUAGCUGGUAGGGUAUAGGCAUACCAAGGCGACGAUCAGUAGCUGUUCUGAGAGGAUGAUCAGCCACAUUAGGGCUGAGACACGGCCGAAACUCUUCGGGGAGGCCGCAGGGGGGAAUCUUGCGCAAGGGGUGAGAGCUUAAGGCAGCCAUGCCGUGUGAAUGAUGUAUGUCUUAGGAAUGUAAAAUUCUUUCACCGGCGAGGAUAAUGACGGUACCCGGAGAAGAAGCCCCGGCUAACUUCGUGCCAGCAGCCGCCGUAACAC